UACGGGGGGGGGCAAGCGUUGUUCGGAAUUACUGGGCGUAAAGGGCUCGUAGGCGGCCAACUAAGUCAGACGUGAAAUCCCUCGGCUUAACCGGGGAACUGCGUCUGAUACUGGAUGGCUUGAGAUUGGGAGAGGGAUGCGGAAUUCCAGGUGUAGCGGUGAAAUGACGUAGAUAUCUGGAGGAACACCGGUGGCGAAGGCGGCAUCCUGGACCAACACUGACGCUGAGUGAGCGAAAGUCAGGGGAGCAAACGGG
rnacentral:rRNA from 1 species